AUUCAUGAGUAAAUACAAAAAAAAAUAUGAAUGGGAUGAGAGAGAGUAAAACAUUAAAUCCAUGAGAAAAUCCUAGAAGAUAAAAAUCUGGAUCGUGGUAGUUAAGAAACUAUCCUGAUUAUGACUCUUAAUCUUUUAACCAAAUAGAUCCAUCGAUAAAGAACUAGGUUUUUACCAAUAUCAGAUCUAAUAGAAAAAAUAAAAAUCAA
rnacentral:lncRNA from 1 species